UACGGAGGAUGCAAGCGUUAUCCGGAUUUAUUGGGUUUAAAGGGUGCGCAGGUUGUUUGAUAAGUCAGUGGUGAAAGUCUGUCGCUUAACGGUAGGAUUGCCAUUGAUACUGUUAGACUUGAAUAUGGAUGAGGUAGGCGGAAUGUGUAGUGUAGCGGUGAAAUGCAUAGAUAUUACACAGAACACCGAUUGCGAAGGCAGCUUACUAAUCCAUCAUUGACGCUGAGGCACGAAAGCGUGGGUGAUCAAA
rnacentral:rRNA from 1 species